AACGAACGCUGGCGGCAGGCCUAACACAUGCAAGUCGAGCGGUAGGGGGCUUCGGCCCCCGAGAGCGGCGCACGGGUGCGUAACGCGUAUGCAACCUGCCCUACACAGGGGAAUAGCCCGUCGAAAGGCGGAUUAAUGCCCCAUGGUUCCCGUCUGGGGCAUCCCGGGCGGGGUAAAGAGCUAUCGGUGUAGGAUGGGCAUGCGUGCCAUUAGCUGGACGGUGGGGUAACGGCCCACCGUGGCGACGAUGGCUAGGGGUUCUGAGAGGAAGGCCCCCCCCACUGGGACUGAGACACGGCCCAGACUCCGACGGGAGGCAGCAGUGAGGAAUAUUGGUCAAUGGGCGGAAGCCUGAACCAGCCAUGCCGCGUGCGGGACGAAGGCGCUACGCGUCGUAAACCGCUUUUGUCCGGGGGUAGAAAACUUCCGUCGUGACGGGACUUGCCGGUACCCUGGGAAUAAGCAUCGGCUAACUCCGUGCCAGCAGCCGCCGUAAAAC
rnacentral:rRNA from 1 species